AUGCAGCAGCACAUAUACUAAAAUUGGAAUGAUACAGAGAAGAUUAGCAUGGCCCCUUUGUGAAAAACAUGUUUCUCAAGGGUGGUGAAUCUUUUU
rnacentral:snRNA from 1 species